UCAUACUAUAAAACACGGUGAGACCGCGAAUGGCUCAUUAGAUCAGUCUUGGUUCCUUAGACGGAAAGCGUACCUGGAUAACUGUGGCAAUUCUAGAGCUAAUACAUGCGAAAAAGCUCCGACCUUCGGGGACGAGCGCAGUUAUUAGACCAAGACCUAACUCGAACACUUGGUGACUCUGGAUAACCUCGGGCUGACCGCGCGGACAACGAUCUGGCGGUGCAUCUUUCAAGUGUCUGACCCAUCAACUUUCGACGGUAGGCGACAUGCUUACCGUGGUCGUUACGGGUAACGGGGAAUCAGGGUUCGAUUCCGGAGAGGGAGCAUGAGAAACGGCUACCACCUCCAAGGAAGGGAGCAGGCGCGUAAAUUACCCACUCCUGGCACAGGGAGGUAGUGACGAGUAAUAACGACUAGAGGCUCCUCGGAGACCUCAAGAUCGGAAUGAGACAAUCUUAAACACUUUAGCAAGGAACAAUUGGAGGGCAAGUCUGGUGCCAGCAGCCGCGGUAAUUCCAGCUCCAAUAGCGUAUAUUAAAGCUGUUGCAGUUAAAAAGCUCGUAGCUGAAUCCGGGGGAGAGGCCGGGGGGUUAUUGCUGCGUGUAAAAGGGGUCAAACCCUCCAUAAGCGAUCGGCAUGUCACAACCCGCGCCACGACCCAAACAGUCGGUAGACCCAGGGUGCUCUUAACUGAGUGGUCUGCGGUGGCCGGCCAGUUUACUUUGAAAAAAUUAGAGUGCUCAGAGCAGGCCGGUAGAGCCUAGAUACUUCAGCAUGGAAUAAUGGAACAGGACUUCGGUCCUCUUCAGUUGGUCUUCGGGACGCGAGGUAAUGACCGAUAGGGACAGACGGGGGCAUUCGUAUUGUGGGGCUAGAGGUGAAAUUCUUGGACCCUCGCAAGACGAACAACCGCGAAAGCAUUUGCCAAGAAUGUUUUCAUUAGUCAAGAACGAAAGUCAGAGGUUCGAAGACGAUCAGAUACCGCCCUAGUUUUGACCUUAAACGAUGCCGACUAGAGAUCCACGGGUGUUGUACUUGACUCCGUGGGGGACCUACUCCGGGAAACAAAGUGUUUAGGUUCCGGGGGAAGUAUGGUUGCAAAGCUGAAACUUAAAGGAAUUGACGGAAGGGCACCACCAGGAGUGGAGCCUGCGGCUUAAUUUGACUCAACACGGGAAAGCUUACCCGGCCCGGACACUGCAAGGAUUGACAGAUUAAGAGCUCUUUCUUGAUUCGGUGGGUGGUGGUGCAUGGCCGUUCUUAGUUGGUGGAGCGAUUUGUCUGGUUAAUUCCGAUAACGAACGAGACUCUAGCCGGCUAAUUAGUUGACCGGGUGCGCUGCACGCGGUGCUUACAAAGUGUAAAAUACUUCUUAGAGGGACAGGUGGCGAGAAGUCACACGAGAUUGAGCAAUAACAGGUCUGUGAUGCCCUUAGAUGUCCGGGGCUGCACGCGCGCUAMACUGAACGARACAGCAGGUCCUGUUGGUUCUGGCUCGAGAGGGCUGGGUAAUCCUGUUAACCUCAUUCGUAGUUGGGAUUGGGGCUUGAAAUUGCCCCAUGAACCAGGAAUUCCGAGUAAGCGCGAGUUAUAAGCUUGCGGUGAUUGCGUCCCUGCCCUUUGUACACACCGCCCGUCGCUACUACCGAUCGAGUAGCGCAGUGAGACCAUUGGACUCGCCGAGUCGGGGCUGGCAACGGCUCUGACAGCGUGCGUGGAAGGUCGUUGAACUGCUUUGCUUAGAGGAAGUAAAAGUCGUAACAAGGUUU
rnacentral:rRNA from 1 species